GCGAAAAAGGAAUUGAAGAAUGACUUCUAAGAAACGACAGGUAACUCUCUCAAAUAGGGGCCAAAAAGUUUACACAGGGUCGAGGUCAUUCAUUAAACACCACAAAAUGAAAAAAAUUCCGGAAGAACCCACACUUUUUGAGGUCUAUAAAAAAAAACAUCAUUCAAGGAGAGCAAAGAGAUGAUAUUUACAAUGAGGUUUUUGGAAGAAGAUUUAAAAGAAGAGACAUGAGCAUGCCUUUUGAAGAUUUGAUUGGAAACCUAGAAAAUAAAAUCUGGAAGAUAGAAGCAGAUUCCGAAUUAUUCAAACUAGAGAUAUCUAUUCAAAUGUUGAACCUGGAUGAAUAGUUCAGAAAAAGUUAUGAAUACACGGUUUCAAGUUUUUAGUGUUUAGAACUAGAUGAAU